rnacentral:rRNA from 1 species
UACGUAGGGUGCGAGCGUUGUCCGGAAUUAUUGGGCGUAAAGGGCUCGUAGGCGGUUUGUCGCGUCGGGAGUGAAAACACCGGGCUUAACUCGGUGCUGGCUUUCGAUACGGGCAGACUAGAGGUAUUCAGGGGAGAACGGAACUCCUGGUGUAGCGGUGAAAUGCGCAGAUAUCAGGAGGAACACCGGUGGCGAAGGCGGUUCUCUGGGAAUGUCCUGACGCUGAGGAGCGAAAGUGUGGGGAGCGAACAGG